GCACAUGUACUCCUAGUAAAAUUGGAAUGAUACAGAGAAGAUUAGCAAGGAUGACACGCAAAUUCAUGAAGCGUUCCUUCCAUAUUUUU
rfam:Myotis brandtii contig257478, whole genome shotgun sequence.